GAGGGGGGCGAGGGGUAUUCAGUUGGUUGCAAUUUGCAACCUCACCGCUAGAUGCCACUAAAGCCUACACACUGCUUCUUUAAAUAUGCUAACACUUAGCA